rnacentral:rRNA from 1 species
CCCUAGUAACUGCGAGUGAAGCGGGAAAAGCUCAAAUUUAAAAUCUGGCGGUCUUUGGCUGUCCGAGUUGUAAUCUAGAGAAGUGUUAUCCGCGCUGGACCGUGUACAAGUCUCCUGGAAUGGAGCGUCAUAGAGGGUGAGAAUCCCGUCUUUGACACGGACUGCCAGGGCUUUGUGAUGCGCUCUCAAAGAGUCGAGUUGUUUGGGAAUGCAGCUCAAAAUGGGUGGUAAAUUCCAUCUAAAGCUAAAUAUUGGCGAGAGACCGAUAGCGAACAAGUACCGUGAGGGAAAGAUGAAAAGAACUUUGGAAAGAGAGUUAAACAGUACGUGAAAUUGCUGAAAGGGAAACGCUUGAAGUCAGUCGCGUUGGCCGGGGAUCAACCUUGCUUUUGCUGGGCGUACUUUCCGGUUGACGGGUCAGCAUCAAUUUUGACCGUUGGAUAAAGUUCAGGGGAAUGUGGCAUCUUCGGAUGUGUUAUAGCCCUUGUUCGCAUACAACGGUUGGGAUUGAGGAACUCAGCACGCCGCAAGGCCGGGUAUUUUACCACGUUCGUGCUUAGGAUGCUGGCAUAAUGGCUUUAAUCGACCCGUCUUGAAACACGGACCAAGGAGUCUAACAUGCCUGCGAGUGUUUGGGUGGAAAACCCGAGCGCGUAAUGAAAGUGAAAGUUGAGAUCCCUGUCGUGGGGAGCAUCGACGCCCGGACCAGACCUUUUGUGACGGAUCCGCGGUAGAGCAUGUAUGUUGGGACCC